UUAUGAUAAAUAUGUUGAUGCUAAAAUUUUUUGAGAAAUUAUUUACUCCAGUGUCAGAAAUCAAGAAAGAUUCUAAAAAAAGAGCUGAAAUGGGGCGCUUGAGCAGAUAAGACUUUUGGUAAAGCUGUAUAACGAAAAUAAGAGAUUGCUUGAUGGAAAAUUUUCUCCUUCAAUUUCAAAACUUACAAAAGACGAUGCAUGGAGUAAAGUUGCAGACCAAGCUAUCUGAUCAAAAAUCUGACAGCUAGGGAAAAGCAGCACAGAUUGUUUCUAGUCUAAACAAGACUGGCGGGGGUGAGGGGUGCUUGGAGGAGCUUGACUCCAUUGAUCAGCAAAUGGUGUCCAAGAUGCCAAAAAAUUCAUACAUGGGAAUCACUGGAGGUAUUGACUCUCUUUAAAGUCCUACAGCAUCGAAUAACGACUAUUUUUCAACAGAUAUCAGGGAGUUUUUCACCACAACCAAAUGAACAAACGUUUGAUCAGUUAUUAGAAAAUUCAUGUUUACAGAGUUGUUAUUAAUCAUAAUCGAGUUGUUAAACCAAGG